UAUGGUUGCCUUAAUGGCUUUCGCCAAAAGCGAAAGGGAAAACGGUGUGAAUCCGUUACUGUUACCUCAACUGUAUUUGCCGACGAAGAAGGCAUAUCGCCACUGUCGUUAUGAUGGGAAGGCGCCUUCGGAGAAUGAAGCAUAAGUCAGGAUAAUUUCCGUAAG
rnacentral:ncRNA from 1 species